rnacentral:miRNA from 2 species
AGCUGCUGGACACUGCACAAGA